UACGGAAGGCAGCGGUGGGGAAUAUUGCACAAUGGGCGCAAGCCUGAUGCAGCCAUGCCGCGUGUAUGAAGAAGGCCUUCGGGUUGUAAAGUACUUUCAGUCGUGAGGAAGGUGUUAAGGUUAAUAACCUUAGCAAUUGACGUUAGCGACAGAAGAAGCACCGGCUAACUCCGUGCCAGCAGCCGCGGUAAUACGGAGGGUGCGAGCGUUAAUCGGAAUUACUGGGCGUAAAGGGCACGCAGGCGGUUAAUUAAGUUGGAUGUGAAAUCCCCGGGCUUAACCUGGGAAUGGCAUUCAAGACUGGUUAGCUAGAGUCUUGCAGAGGGGGUAGAAUUCCGAUGUGUAGCGGUGAAAUGCGUAGAGAUGUGGAGGAAUACCGGUGGCGAAGGCGGCCCCUGGGACAAAGACUGACGCUCAUGUGCGAAAGCGUGGGGAGCAAACAGGAUUAGAUACC
rnacentral:rRNA from 1 species